UUUUUUUGCAGGGGAGAUGGUAUUGGGGAUUGAACCCAGAGCCUCUCACAUACUAGGUGAAUGAAACAGGGUUUUUCUAUGUUGCUUAGGGUGGCCUUGAUCAUUCCAUUCUCCUGCCUCAGCCUUCAGAGUAGCUAGGAUUAACAGACAUAUGCUAACACACCUGGCUCAGGCAGUUUUUUAUAUUAAAAAUUAAUACCAAAUUCACUAAACAUAGUGGAAUAUAUACCAAAAGUUAUAAAGGUAUUUUCCAACUUUACUCAUAGGCUGUGAUAUAGGUGAAUUUUUAUAUUAAUAUCAAAAGAACACAAAGACCUGAGAUUGUAUAAAUACCUUGAGUAUAAGAGAAAUAACUUCUCAACGUGUAGAAUGCAACUUCUCAAGGUUUUUAAAUAUUUCUUUUCUUUUUUUAAAAAUUCAUUUUUUUUAGUUUUCAGCAGACAUAACAUCUUUGUUUGUAUGUGGUGCUGAGGAUCGAACCCGGGCCGCACGCAUGCCAGGCAAGUGCGCUACCACUUGAGCCACAUCCCCAGCCCCUUUGAAUAUUUCUCUUCUGUGAUUUCUCUUUUCCUUUGGAGAAAGAAUGUUUAAUGAAGAUUUAGAACAUUGCAUUUUUAACUCUUAAGCAGAAUUUUAUAACUACAUUAUUACUCCUUAAGGAAAGCUUCUUUCACAUUUAUUUUAACUAUUCUUUUGAAUACUUUAAGAUAAUGAAACCAUUAAGUAGUGAUUUUUCUAUUAGUAUAAAAGCUGAUGUAAUAAAUUCCUAGUAGCUGAAGGACCACAUAUACUGAUUUUUAAAAAACUUUUUAUUUUGAAAUAGCUUUAAACUUACAGCAGAGUUACAAGAAUAAUAUCCUUCCCUAGGUCUUCUGUUACUAUUUUGCCAUUUUACUUUUACUAUUCUAUUACAUAUCAUUUCUUGAAUAAUUGGAUACUAUGUUACAGUUAUCACAUAAGUCCUCAAUACUUAGCCUUUUUAAAAAAUAAGGACAUUGUCCUGCAUAACCACAGUACGUUCAUCAAAACCAGGAAACUAACAUAGAUGAAAUUCUACUGUUUAACCCAUAAACCCAAUUCAUUUGUUACUAAUUUAUCAAAAAAAAAGUCACAACUCCUCUUUGACCUGGAUACAAUCCAGGAUGAAGUGUGCAUUUAGUUAUGUUUUCUCUCUAGUCCUCUGUAAUCUGGAGUGGUUUCUCUGCUUGCACUUUUAUAUGACCUAGAUGUUUUUCCUUGUUUUGGGGGAGAGAACCCAGAAGGCAUUUUACCACUAAGCUGAAUCCCUGUUCUUUUUAUUUUAAGACAAGUUCUUGCCAAGUUGUCCACAUCGGCCUUGAAUUUCAGGAUCCCCCUGUCUCAGCCUCUGGAGACACUGGAAUUACAUGCAUGUACCACUUUGCCCAGCAUGACAUAGGCAUUUUUGAAGAGUGCAGACCAGUUAGUCCAUAGAUGUUCUUCCUUUUGGAUUUGUAUGGUGCUUUCUAAUGUUUCAAUUCAGUUUUUGAAUUUUGGUUAGGAAUAUCAGAGAAGUGAUGCUGUGUUCUUCUCUGCAUUGUAUCAGGAGGCACAUAAUCAAUUUUUUGGUGAAUUUAUGUAUGUGGGUAUGUGUGUGUACGCUGGGGAUUAAAGCCAGGACCUCAUGCAUACUAGGCAAGUGCUCUACCACUGAGUCACAUUUCCACCCCCUGGUUUAAUUUUUUUUUUUUUCAUAUACUGGCAAUUGAACUCAGGGGGCACUCAACCACUGAGCCACACAUCCCCAGCCCUAUUUCUUAUUUUAUAUUUAGAAACAGGGUCUCGCUGAGUUGCUUAGUGUCUUGCUAAGUUGCUGAGGCUGACUUUAAACUCGCGAUCCUCCUGUCUCAGCCUCCUAAGCUGCUGGGAUUAUAGGCAUGCACCAUCGUGCCUGGCCCUGGUUUAAUUUUUGAUACAGGGUUAUGAUGUCUUCAAGGUUUGGUUUCUCCAUUAUGAAGUUAAUAAGUAUUUUCCCCAUUUUUUUCUUCUUCCUUUUUUGUGCGGGGUAUUAAGUUGAAAUGUAAACAUGAUUUUGAUAUACACAUUCACAGUGAAAUGCUUACUGCAGUACUUACUAAUUAAUGAGGACUAGGUAUUUGUGAGGAGCUACUCUGAGACUGUGGCAAUAUUCUGUUCUUUCUCAAAAUUCAAUCUAGUUUUAUGUUUUAAUUAGCUUUUCAUUGCUGUGACCAAAAUAUCUUACAAGAGGGGCUGGGGUUGUAGCUCAGUGGUAGAGUGCUUGCCUAGCAUGUGUGAGGUACUGGUUUCGAUCCUCAGCAUCACAUAAAAAAUAAAUAAAUAAAAGUAUGGCAUCCAUUUACAAUUUUAAAAAAUUAAAAUAUCUGCUAAGAACAAUUUAGAGGAGGAAAAGUUUAUUUUGG
rnacentral:lncRNA from 1 species